rnacentral:tRNA from 1 species
GCGGGAGUAGCUCAGUUGGUAGAGCGUCUCUCUCCCAAGGAGAAGGUCGCGGGUUCGAAUCCCGUCUCCCGCUCCA